CCACCUUAAUGCACAUCACUUGAUCUAGAUCUCGACCCUUCCGCUCCCUAACCUUGGCAAGCCUAAACAACCUCUUCUCCCCUCUUUUCUCCUCUAACCCCUUAUACAAACUUUCAAAAAUUGCUGUCUUAGCCUCCGUAAUAAAUAACUUAGCCUCCUUUUGAGCUACCUUGUACUCCUCCUUGCUUACCCGCUUCUCUUCUUUAUCCUUACUCUUUACCAACUUAGUGUAAGCCGCCUUCUUUGUCUCCACCUUUUUCUCAACCUCUUCAUUCCACCACUAAUCCCCCGAUACCAGCCAGACUAUUUGCAAUAAAUACUUGAAUUCCAAUUUUACUGCUGCCUUGAAUCUAACUCGAACUUGUUUUUCAAUUUUUUCACAUACAAAUUACGUUCGACAACCAAAACUUGAUAGGUACAUCAGUAA
rnacentral:lncRNA from 1 species